UACGUAGGGUGCAAGCGUUGUCCGGAAUUAUUGGGCGUAAAGAGCUCGUAGGCGGUUUGUCGCGUCGGGAGUGAAAACCAGGUGCUUAACACCUGGCUUGCUUUCGAUACGGGCAGACUAGAGGUAUUCAGGGGAGAACGGAAUUCCUGGUGUAGCGGUGAAAUGCGCAGAUAUCAGGAGGAACACCGGUGGCGAAGGCGGUUCUCUGGGAAUGACCUGACGCUGAGGAGCGAAAGUGUGGGGAGCGAACAGG
rnacentral:rRNA from 1 species